AUGUUUAGGAAAAUGUACCGAGGUGGUUCUUCAAGGAAGCAAGGACCCAGGCCCGCAAUACGUGAGCCAGACUAUGAACUACCAAGAGAAGCUCAAGUGCGGCCUUGUGAAUGGCCGUCAGAAAAUUUCAUGGUCCAAGCAGGAAUUAAGGAGGAAUUUGACGCAUAUGCAAAAGGGAGAUAUGUUAUAACCAGGGAGGAGGUGAACGAGUAUGAGAGGAGGACGGAGGCAGCUCGCCUCCAAGCUACAGCUCAUCAAGCAAUAGCCGCUGCAUCUCAGUACGACCCCAGUUACAACUUUGGAUAUCCGCCAGGCCAGCCAUGGCCGUAG
rnacentral:rRNA from 1 species